rnacentral:lncRNA from 1 species
CGACCAGGCUCCAGUCCUGUACCUCAACAGUUCCAGUGCACGAGAAGGGGAAACACUUUUGGUUCAUUGUGUCAUUGAUUGGCAGUUUCCUGCUACACGAGUUGUCUUCUGCAAGAAUGGGCUGGAGGAGUUCAGCCUGAAAGCCCAGCAGGGCAGGCUCAUCUACGCUCUGGUCCUGAACAUCACCUCCAGAAGUGCUGGGAUGUACACGUGUGGGUACCAGCAAAAGAACAAGGAAAACAACGUGAAGAACUCUGCUCUCAGUGCUCCCCGGACCUUGUCUGUAGCAGGUGCUGGUGAGACCACCACUGAUAUCCACAGCCACACAGCCCCAUAUCCCCGGAUUCUGCACACCCUCCCCACAGGCACGGUGCUGGCAGUGGCGGCCGUCGGCCUCGUCCUCCUGGCUGCAGGCAGCUGGUUUGCCAUCAGGAAACGUGCCUGCAGAGGGAGAUGCCCAAGGUGAGCACCAAGGGCUCCUGGCUGUGGGGUACGCGGGAGGGACUUGGGUGCAUGGCAGGGCCCUGGGGUGCUCCUUGUUCAGGGGCAUCUCCUGUG